UUUUUUCCGUCUCCAAGCAACUGCCUCUUUCUGUCUCUCUCUCACCAAAUUCCACUAUGAAUCGAUGCCUUCUCACCAAAUUACCGGUAUUCUUCAGUCCUCGUAUGGAAUUUUUUGCUAGAAAAUCCACGGUGUUCUUCAGUUUAUUUGUAAUUUGUCUUUCAUAUUCUUCAAUUUUGAUUUUGUGUAAUCAGGUAUUAUUGUAUUUUGUCAUUUACAUGUGGG
rnacentral:lncRNA from 1 species